rnacentral:rRNA from 1 species
UACGUAGGGUGCGAGCGUUAAUCGGAAUUACUGGGCGUAAAGGGUGCGCAGGCGGCAGAGCAAGUCGAGUGUGAAAGCCCCGGGCUUAACUUGGGAAUUGCGCUCGAAACUACUUUGCUGGAGUGUGGCAGAGGAAGGUGGAAUUCCACGUGUAGCGGCGAAAUGCGCAGAUAUCAGGAGGAACACCGAUGGCGAAGGCAGGUCUCUGGGCAUUAACUGACGCUGAGGAGCGAAAGCAUGGGGAGCGAACAGG